rnacentral:rRNA from 1 species
UAUGGUCAAGUGAAGAAGCGCAUACGGUGGAUGCCUUGGCAGUCAGAGGCGAUGAAAGACGUGGUAGCCUGCGAAAAGCUUCGGGGAGUCGGCAAACAGACUUUGAUCCGGAGAUGUCUGAAUGGGGGAACCCACCUAACAUAAGUUAGGUAUCUUAAGCUGAAUACAUAGGCUUAAGAAGCGAACCAGGGGAACUGAAACAUCUAAGUACCCUGAGGAAAAGAAAUCAACCGAGAUUCCCUUAGUAGUGGCGAGCGAACGGGGACUAGCCCUUAAGUGGCUUUGAGAUUAGCGGAACGCUCUGGAAAGUGCGGCCAUAGUGGGUGAUAGCCCUGUACGCGAAAAUCUCUUGGUCAUGAAAUCGAGUAGGACGGAGCACGAGAAACUUUGUCUGAAUAUGGGGGGACCAUCCUCCAAGGCUAAAUACUACUGACUGACCGAUAGUGAACUAGUACCGUGAGGGAAAGGCGAAAAGAACCCCGGAGAGGGGAGUGAAAUAGAUCCUGAAACCGUAUGCGUACAAGCAGUGGGAGCCCACUUUGUUGGGUGACUGCGUACCUUUUGUAUAAUGGGUCAGCGACUUAUUUUCAGUGGCGAGCUUAACCGAAUAGGGGAGGCGUAGCGAAAGCGAGUCUUAAUAGGGCGUCUAGUCGCUGGGAAUAGACCCGAAACCGGGCGAUCUAUCCAUGGGCAGGUUGAAGGUUGGGUAACACUAACUGGAGGACCGAACCGACUACCGUUGAAAAGUUAGCGGAUGACCUGUGGAUCGGAGUGAAAGGCUAAUCAAGCUCGGAGAUAGCUGGUUCUCCUCGAAAGCUAUUUAGGUAGCGCCUCAUGUAUCACUGUAGGGGGUAGAGCACUGUUUCGGCUAGGGGGUCAUCCCGACUUACCAAACCGAUGCAAACUCCGAAUACCUACAAGUGCCGAGCAUGGGAGACACACGGCGGGUGCUAACGUCCGUCGUGAAAAGGGAAACAACCCAGACCGUCAGCUAAGGUCCCAAAGUUAUGGUUAAGUGGGAAACCGAUGUGGGAAGGCUUAGACAGCUAGGAGGUUGGCUUAGAAGCAGCCACCCUUUAAAGAAAGCGUAAUAGCUCACUAGUCGAGUCGGCCUGCGCGGAAGAAUGUAACGGGGCUCAAACCAUACACCGAAGCUACGGGUAUCACUUAGGUGAUGCGGUAGAGGAGCGUUCUGUAAGCCUGUGAAGGUGAGUUGAGAAGCUUGCUGGAGGUAUCAGAAGUGCGAAUGCUGACAUGAGUAACGACAAUGGGUGUGAAAAACACCCACGCCGAAAGACCAAGGUUUCCUGCGCAACGUUAAUCGACGCAGGGUUAGUCGGUCCCUAAGGCGAGGCUGAAAAGCGUAGUCGAUGGAAAACAGGUUAAUAUUCCUGUACUUCUGGUUAUUGCGAUGGAGGGACGGAGAAGGCUAGGCCAGCUUGGCGUUGGUUGUCCAAGUUUAAGGUGGUAGGCUGGAAUCUUAGGUAAAUCCGGGAUUCUAAGGCCGAGAGCUGAUGACGAGUGUUCUUUUAGAACACGAAGUGGUUGAUGCCAUGCUUCCAAGAAAAGCUUCUAAGCUUCAGGUAACCAGGAACCGUACCCCAAACCGACACAGGUGGUUGGGUAGAGAAUACCAAGGCGCUUGAGAGAACUCGGGUGAAGGAACUAGGCAAAAUGGCACCGUAACUUCGGAGAAGGUGCGCCGGUGAGGGUGAAGGACUUGCUCCGUAAGCUCAUGCCGGUCGAAGAUACCAGGCCGCUGCGACUGUUUAUUAAAAACACAGCACUCUGCAAACACGAAAGUGGACGUAUAGGGUGUGACGCCUGCCCGGUGCCGGAAGGUUAAUUGAUGGGUUAGCUAACGCGAAGCUCUUGAUCGAAGCCCCGGUAAACGGCGGCCGUAACUAUAACGGUCCUAAGGUAGCGAAAUUCCUUGUCGGGUAAGUUCCGACCUGCACGAAUGGCGUAACGAUGGCGGCGCUGUCUCCACCCGAGACUCAGUGAAAUUGAAAUCGCUGUGAAGAUGCAGUGUAUCCGCGGCUAGACGGAAAGACCCCGUGAACCUUUACUAUAGCUUUGCACUGGACUUUGAAUUUGCUUGUGUAGGAUAGGUGGGAGGCUUUGAAGCGUGGACGCCAGUUCGCGUGGAGCCAACCUUGAAAUACCACCCUGGCAACUUUGAGGUUCUAACUCAGGUCCGUUAUCCGGAUCGAGGACAGUGUAUGGUGGGUAGUUUGACUGGGGCGGUCUCCUCCUAAGAGUAACGGAGGAGUACGAAGGUGCGCUCAGACCGGUCGGAAAUCGGUCGUAGAGUAUAAAGGCAAAAGCGCGCUUGACUGCGAGACAGACACGUCGAGCAGG